ensembl:lncRNA
UUCAGAGGAAGGUCACUGCAUGUCUCAGGAUCAACUUAACAACCAGGUUCUGUUCAUCUUGCAAUAUUGCAAUAUGCUAAAGUGAUAUUAAGAUCUUUGGGUGCAUCCGUGGGAUUUAAAUAACUGUUUUUCAUCUUGUGUUUUUUCCUUCUAAAUUAUGAGAAAGCGAGAGUGGUGAGUAUCUGAAUACAAUUUAUGAAGCAUUCUGCCAGAGGAGCAUGUUAAUAUUUCAUGGGUCUUAUUACAGCAACAAAGUACUGGGGAGAUUUCACAAAAACCCACUUACACGCAGAGUGGCAUAUGUAUGUAAACACACACACACACACACACACACACACACACACACGCCUUCCAGAGUCAUUUUAAUUGCCGUCUCUGGGGUGACACAAGUUGUGUGGAAGCCCCCCACUGGUUCAUUCCCUGAUGAACACACAUGCACACACACACACAAACACACACACACACACAAUCACCCCAGGUUUGCAGUAUAAUGAGUGCUAUAUUUAAACAGUGCUGUUGCACUUGGACAAACUAAACAAGGAUGAUAUACUGUUUCCUCGUAUAGAGUUUUCCAUCUUCAGGCUGUGUGUUCUACGAGUCUCCAUCCUCAUCAAACAAAAAAGGGAGAUAGAGCAGGGUGGAUAUGUAGGGAGAGUACAGCAAGGUGGAUGUAUAUGGAGAGUACAGCAGGGUGGAUAUGUAGGGAGAGUACAGCAGGGUGGAUAUAUAGGGAGAGUACAGCAGGGUGGAUUUGUAGGGAGAGUACAGCAGGGUGGAUGUAUAUGGAGAGUACAGCAGGGUGGAUAUGUAGGGAGAGUACAGCAGGGUGGAUAUAUAGGGAGAGUACAGCAGGGUGGAUUUGUAGGGAGAGUACAGCAGGGUGGAUGUAUAUGGAGAAUACAGCAGGGUGGAUGUAUAUGGAGAGUACAGCAGGGUGGAUUUGUAGGGAGAGUACAGUAGAGUGGAUUUGUAGGGAGA